rnacentral:tRNA from 2 species
GUCGACGCCGGCGCGCCGAUUGCGGCGAGACGCGUUGCAACCGCGUCGGAAGGCAUCGGCGCAGGCGCGCCGUGCGACGCGGCUGCGCCGGCA